UCCCUGUACGACCGGUGUCAGAGUCUGGUCCACAUCGUUUCCGGUGAGAGUUGGACUCCGCCAGGGCUGCCCUUUGUUACCGAUUCUGUUCAAUAGUUUCAUGGACAAAAUUUCUAGGCGCAGCCAAGGUGUUGAGGGACUUUGUUUUGGCGGCCUUAGGAUCCUAUAUCUGCUUUAGGCGGAUAAAGUGGUCCUGUUGGUUUCAUCGGGUUGUGAUCUACAGUUCUUGCCGGAGCGGUUCACAGCUGAGUGUGAAGCAGCCGGGAUGAGGAUCAGUGCCUCCAAAGGGUAGAGUGCCUUCUCCAGGUCGGGAGGUUGGGGGGGGGAGGAUGUCCUGUCCCAAGUGGCGGAGUUUAAGUAUUUCUAGGUUCAUGAAUGAGGGAAAAUGGAGCGGGCAUCUGGUUAGGAUGGAUGUCUCCCUGGUGGUGGGAGGCGCAGAGGGAGACCCAGGACACGCUGGAGGGAUGAUGGUCCUCUGCUGGGAACACCUUGGAAUUCCCCCAGAGGAGCUGGAGCAGGAGGCUGGCAGAGGGAAGUCUAGGCCCCGCGACCCGACAAAGAGGAAGAAGAUGGACGGUUGGCAUAUAAUUAUCUCAUGAUGGUAUCAUCUCUAAAAUGGAUGGACAGUGCAGCUGGGCCAGAUUUUGACUGAUAAAAUACAGAAAAUCUGAUUAUUUACUCAAACAGGAAGUCAUUAUUAUCACAUCAGUACCGGAGGUUCUGGUUCCUAACCAAUCACAAGCUCUCAGUUCUUCAUCCAUGUAUCUCAUACGGUGCAGAAGCAAACAUGCUGCCACAGCCAUCCAGAACCGGGUGGUUCUAAGGAUCCAGGACUAGUUGAACAUGUUUCCUAAAUAUGUUGCAAUUUUCCUAUUACCUAGAAAAUUGCUGUUUGUAUUACGCCAAAACUCAUAAUUCAAAAAUUUACAUCUUUUGUUACAUUUGUCACCCAUGGAGGUCGCCAUUUUUCACAGAUGGGUUGAUGACGUCAAGGCUAACUUUACCCAAGUAGUUGUUUAUCAUAUUGCGUUUGACUGGUGUCAUUUUAGAUAAUGCCACACUGUGGCACUAUUGGCUGUAAUUAAAAAAAUAAAAAUUGAGACAGAAUCUGGAUAAUUUAUGAAAGAGAGGAGAGUGCAGUGCCAGAGCCGGAGUGGAACACAAUGAAGGUCCUGAUCUGGACCCUGGACAUUUCUCCGCAACACUGAGCCAUUUAUACCAGCAGAACCAACAAAGGCUCUGACAGGUGAUCGUUACCUUAACGAGAUAAAAAUAAAUGCCGUGCUGAGACGGGCAGAGCUGGAUGCUCUUUGAGAUGCUAACAGGAGCUAUACUGCCUGGGUACUGACGUCACCGAUCCAACCGGAUCCACGGGGGUUCGGUGUCGGUGUGGCGGUUACCACCACACAGGACUCUGAACAGCACAGCUGAUGCCGAACCGGACACAGCGCUAAAGACGCUGGGAGAGACGUCAAAGACAAGCAACGCUAACGGAGCCUUUACUACUGGAAAUGCUAACGGAGCUAGAUCACCGGUACUGAAUGUGAAACCACCGGACACAGUUCGGAGUCUAAACCGCUGUUGCCAAACCGGACUCAGAGCUAUAGAAGUACUUACCGGAUCACGCAGUCCAACCAGAGGGAAUUAUUAAGACAAAGAUUCAACUUUGAUACCAACAGCUGGACCUUUUGUGACAACGACUCUGAAACAACAGAUCGUCUCUUUUUCUAUUGUGUGCAAACUGGAACAUUUUGGAGGAACUUUCAGGACUGGAUCUCAUCAAAACUUUCCUCCAUCAUCCCUUAAAAAGAGAGGAUCUAAUAUUUGGAAAAACCCACAGAGACAGAAGAACCUCAUUCUUCACAACCUGCUGAUCCUCACCAAAUUCUUCAUCCACUCCUGUAAAUGGGGAAAUAGAAAUCCUGACUUUUCAGCUUUUAAAAACCUUUUAAUGGACAAAAAUCACUUCAGAACCUUAAAACUGAUGAAAAACAAGCAGGAAUAAAUACAGCUUUUGGACGCCUAUAAUGGUCUGAAUUUAUUUGAAAACUAAAGCCCCUUUGUCUCUGUUUUUUCGGUUUGUUUUUUUCAUUAUGCUAUCCCUCUGUUUGAUGUCUGAUAAAUUUUAUUUAUUUAUAAUUUUAUUUUACCUGUUUGAAUUUUUUAAUUUUUUUUAUUGUCAUAAUUAUACAUGUGCCUUAAGCCUGUAAGACUUGUUUUCGUCAUGUAUGUACAUGCCACGUGAUCUUGUACACUUGUUCAAAAUGUUUAAUAAAAAAAAAAAAAAAA